CUAUUGAGUGUGCUAAGUUUGGUUUUAUAUAACCUUUCUCUUCUUCUCUUCCCACUUAUAAAUACAGAACCAAUAAACAGAAUCCAACCCAAAUUAAUCUUUACUACUCCUUCCUCUAUUAAAAACCAAACCUCCAUAUUUUUUUCCUCUACUUUCAAGAAACACCAAGUGUACUUAGCCAAUAAUAAGGUGCAUUUUCACAUUUUUUAAGUAUGAACAUAUCAGCUUCUGAAUGUAGUAGUGGGUGUGAAUCUGGUUGGACAAUGUACUUAGAUCAGCUCUCAAAUUCUGAAGAUCAAUAUAACAGAAGAAAUAUUGAUUAUGGUAUAUAUAGUAAGAGUAAAACAGAACAUGUAGAUGAAUAUCAAGAAGAUGAAGAUAUGUCAAUGGUUUCUGAUGCUUCUUCUGGUCCACCACAUUUUCGUGAAGAUUAUUGCUUUGAACAAAAUGGAUAUAUUUUCUAUCCUUCAGCUUCUGAAAAUACAAAGGAAACAAAGGAGAAAAGGAAAAUGAAAGAGCAAAAGGUCAAAAAACAGAAUCUUUAUCUUGAUGAUACUGCCAGUUCUCCAUUCUCUAGUUUCCCAACGGAUAACAGAGAAUAUAAUGAUAGAACUUCUAUGGAGAUGGUAGCUGACUUCUCUGAAACACAUUCUAAGGUUACUUUUUUAUUGUCAUUCUUGGAUUAUUUGAAGGGGAGUCUUGGCGCAACUGGUAAAGUUGCUAUCACGUGAUCAAGAGUUUACGGGUUCGAGUCAUGAAAACAGUUUUUUGUAGAAAUGUAGGGGUAAAUCUGUUUUAGGGAAGCACUUUGGUUUCUUGAAAACAUCUGUGAGUGGAAGAACUUCAUCAGAAAAAUCUAGUGGUUUAAAAGGAAGGAAGAGGCAAUAAGAAUUGGCAAAGAGUAUAUUUUCUGUGUCUGCAGCUGCAAUUGAAGAGAGAAAAAGAAGAUUGUUGUUUGAGGGGUGAAUAGGGAGCAUAAAAAGGGAAAAAGGCUUUAGAUUUCUGAGGAUCUUGUUUUUAUCCUACUUUCUCCUCUUUCUUUUAAUUUUUUAUUAAUCCUCCUUCCAGUUAUUGUUCCUGUCUAUGUAGUGGGAAACAACUUUAAAACAUAAAUGUCAAAAAAAGAAGAGAGAAAACUGUCUUUAUUUUAUUAUCUCUCUCCCACACCAAACACAAUUCAGGAGAAUAAUGAUAAUAUCAAUAAUAUUAUGUCCAAUGUUCUUCACUUCAAAA